CAAAGUUUGAGGUACGGAGAAUUAUGAUAAGAUAUCCCAAUUUUGAAUUCCAUUUUAUUGAAGUUCCACUGCAUGUCUUUUGAAUUUGCAAUUAUAACUACUUGCAGGAGAAGAGGAGGAAUUAAGAGGAAGCGACGGCGAAGAAGGGCAAAGGGAAGUGUAAAAAGGAAAUGGACAGUGAGAUGAGUGACCAGGAAGCGACGGCGAAGAAGGGCAAAGGGAAGUGUACAAAGAAAAGGGACAGUGAGAUGAGUGACCAGGAAGUGAAGAAGAAGAAAACAGGGAAAGGGAAAAGAACCAAGCAAACGCUAGUGAGACCAGUGAGCAUUGAGCAGGAAGAGAACCAACAAGAAGGGGCAGGAGUACACUGACGCGCACGACCAAGACCACAGCAUUCCAUUUCUAUUCCAUCCAUCCAUCCAUCUUCUUCCGCUUAUCCGAGGUCGGGUCGCGGGGGCAGCAGCCUAAGCAGGGAAGCCCAGACUUCCCUCUC